rnacentral:rRNA from 1 species
UACGUAGGGUGCGAGCGUUGUCCGGAAUUAUUGGGCGUAAAGAGCUCGUAGGCGGCUUGUCACGUCGGUUGUGAAAGUCCGGGGCUCAACUCCGGAUCUGCGGUGGGUACGGGCAGACUAGAGUGAUGUAGGGGAGACUGGAAUUCCUGGUGUAGCGGUGAAAUGCGCAGAUAUCAGGAGGAACACCGGUGGCGAAGGCGGGUCUCUGGGCCGUAACUGACGCUGAGGAGCGAAAGCGUGGGGAGCGAACAGG